UCCAAAAGCCGACAUGGUGACAGCUGCAAAGUAUCUGUUGGAUUUCUUUGUCAUAUAUAGAGGACAACGGAGAGCUGCCCUGCUGGCCUGUGUCGUUCCCUUGAGUGGAGCUGGUCUUCCUGGGUUUGAACUUCCACGCCUUUUGUGAAUCCAUUGUGACUGCAUUUAUGGACCUGCUGUGACUACGUUAUUCUCUGCCAGUUCAUUGCAUCCACAAUGGUGGUAACUUGUCUGCCUGAAGCCUUUUACCUCGUCCUUGAAAAGUGUAUCCCUGAGGAGUCAGGAGCUCACAACCAGGCUCCCAGUGGAUUCAGGGACCAGCCUGCGACUCACCCGCCCGCCCACCGGUACCCUGACCCAAUCUCUUUUCUCCUGCAUUCUCAAGUCAGACCUGUAAAAAAAACCUCACCUGUAAGCUCUCCCUCUCUACAGACACCACCCGGAUUCACCAGCAGUGUUCAGGACGCCCCCAUUUCCUCACAGUCUGUCACUGCUCAACACUCACAAACAAAACUUUAUAGACUCUCAAAUAUUGGUCACAGUCUAAUCUUAUGGUCCAAAAAUUAUAAAAUUCUGACAGAAAUAAGCAACAAGACAAACACGCCUUUGUUGUGUUUUUAUUUCAUGCUGUUUUGUUAUUUUCCCCUCUAACUAAAGUUUAAUGGAACA